rnacentral:misc_RNA from 1 species
AACUCUCAUGCCAUUUUAUCGACGAUGAGAACAACGUGCCCGGUGAUACACCUUCAAAAUUAAGCGUAGAUGGCAAAUGGAAAACUUGCCUGCACGGCUUUCUUAAUUUCAAUG